UGGACAUUCUAGUGUGCAAUUUGCCUGGUA
rnacentral:piRNA from 1 species